AACCCGGCUAAACCGACUGAAAUCUAGUCACCGCUCUGCGCAUGGGCAUUUACCGCAACCAGACUGGGCUGGAGGUAGAGGUGAAUGAUGUUAUCCGGUUCUUGUCGAGUUUCUCCAACACGUUUACAAAUGGAGGGAGGUGGAGGCAAAUCCAUGAUAUUUCCUUUUACCAUAUAAAGUUAAGAAAAGUGCCAGCUGCAAAAAAAGUGGGGAGGGGGAAGCAGCCCACCUCACCCCAACCCCCGGUGCUACGUGCCUUGGACGUAAAUACAUGGUGUGCUCUGGGGUAUCGCAUGAUUCCAACGGACUCGUCAACUAACUAUGAAUGAGAAAUUAUGGCGCGAAAUCCUGCGAUAACCGUUCACGCAACGAAUGAACUCAUCCACUUGCAGAGAUCCAUGGGGAGGGGGGUCAGAUGAAUUUUUGACAUUUGUUUUGUAACAGCUACAUACAUGUACAUGUAUAUUAUACUUUGGAUCGGUUUUGGAAGAAAUCUAACGAAUUAAGAAACACACUUGAUUAGUAAUUGUUAAAUGGAGUAAUGUACAUUUAGUAAGACACGCGAGUUAUGAUCCCUUUUCAAGAUUAAUGAAAUCGCCCAACUGAACGAAAAUCGGGCCACACCCCGUUUCGGCGAUUUAGUUCCUCCAGUAAACAUUCCAGCUGUAUAAAUAUAUAUUUGUUUUAAUCCAAACUGAUGACUCUCUUGUAAUAAUGAAAAUCCAACACCAAUUAUCACUUACAUUGUACAGUAAUAGACAUUAUGUUACAACUUGUUGCGAUGACCCCCUUACCCCUUUUUCACCGUUCAAAUAUAGUGGAAUGCUGAUCUAUUUUUAAAUCAGGAUUACACACGUGCACUGCAUGGCGAACGUCCCUUUUACUUGAAAACUCUUGCACGCUGUUGUUAUUACAUGCCAUAUAACUUUUUCAACAAUUGUGAAUGUAAAUGCUGACAUUUUAAACAUGCAUCGGUUAAUCUUUUUUGCGAAAUAUCAUGAUAUUGCUUGUCCCAUGGUGUGCAAUGUUUCGGAGAAUGCAACUUUUAAACCUUAGUUAUGCCUGACGUCAUGACGUCAGGCAAUUUAAUUUAUUUCAGAACUUAUGAUAUUUCGGAAAUUGUACAAUUUAUACGGGAAUUAAGUGUAAAUUAAAUUUUUUCUUCAGU
rnacentral:sRNA from 1 species